rnacentral:tRNA from 1 species
GGAAGAUAGCGCCACGGAGGCAAACAGGUUUUGAAAGCCUGGCCGGCGGCACCGCCGACUGUUCGACUCAGUUAUCUUCCGCCA